UUGAACACAGAAUGUUGAAUUCUGCUGGGAAGGAAAAGUAAUUCUAAAAUCUCCAGAGUUGCAAUCACUAAAAAAUAUGCAGCACCUUAGGAAACAUCACAUUAGGCAUCACUAAUAGUACCUUUGAUAUGUCUGCAUCAAGACUCCUAUGAACAUCACUACAUUUCAAGCAUAUAAAAACCCCAAUGUUAGCUGACCUGCACAAACAAAUUAUUCAGGUCAGACUAUGAACACAUUGCACAUCAGCUACAUUAAUAUUAUGCAAAUGAAAUGCCAGCCUUAUGCCCAACUAAGGUCAAUGGAUAUCAUAGUCUUAAUCAUGAUUCGUCUUACCGAUCCGUAUCACUGUACCGACCAGCUAUCAGUACGGUAUAUACCAAGUUAUACCGAAUCAUAUCAAGUGUACCAACACAUGGUACAUGAGGGUGUACCGAUGUUGAGGGUGUACCGAUGUACCACCCCUACCGAUCUCCUAUCGGACUGGUACAUACCACCCAUACUGAGCAGUAUGUCACGGUAUAGCGAACCUUGGCUCUUAAUAAUUUACCCAAUCAAGUGUUUAAUUCUUGUUUAGUAUAAAAGGGAAAUUUUCAAUCAUCAAGUUCCUUGCAAUAAUUAUACAUGAGAUGCAUUCAAAACACAUCAACUAAUAUCUGGUCAUUUCUGCAACUGUACAUGAGACAGAUGUUUCUGAACAUUCUACAAUAACAUAGACAUCUCAACUAUGACAGGAUACUAGUACUUACGCCCAUUUCGGAUCUGGAGCACUACAAUCUGCACAAAUUCGAUUAUCACUUUUGAGCAUAAGCUCCUUUAGUUUCCUCAUUUUACCUGUUAUUUUAAUAAGGAAGCAUAAAACUUAGCUGGUUUCUGAGACAAAUAUAAAAACUUCACGUAGUUUUUCAAAAUUGUGUUAAUGAGUCAAACUGAACAUAGUAAUGAACAUAAUACAGAAAUGCAAUGAAGGAAUUUAUACAGAAGUAAUCCAGGUAAUGACAAAGCUGCAUGAAUAUGUAUGACUUUGUUACUUAUCAAAAAAAAAUGUAUGACUUUGUUGAACAGAAUCAGCAAUAUAUGUUAAUUUCCAAAAAGCUACAGAGUUCCUACUAACUAAUAAUGACCCUAAACCAAGUGGCAGGCCCUUUCAGUUAGGUUCUCCAUGAGAAAGAUUGGAGCCAUAAAAAUAAAUGUUACAUCAAGCUAUAAACAUAAGAACCUUGAUCUUCUCCUACGAAUACAAAGAAAUGUUGAUCAAUAGGCCAUAGUCCAUAUGGAUAAUAGAAAUCCCGUGGUCUUCUUAGUCCUACCAUUUGCACAAACCAAUGCUACUGGUUACUACCAGUAAUCAUAGAUAUAGCUUAUUUCUUCUCCUUUGUCAUCUUCUCACUAAUAUGUAAAUCUUCAUCCAAAUUCUCUUGAUCUAGCAAAACAAGGUGAUUGAGACCUUGAUCUCAGAUACAAAUAAGUUGCUAAGAUGUCAGGUCCUUCCACAAUAGCUUCUGAGAAUAAGCUGGCACUAGGAUUUGGCACAUGUACAGUACCAUCUGAUUUCUUCAUAAUGGAACAAAAUUGAAUUAGGAUGAAACUUAGUUCAGAUCCAAAAUAAGCAGCAAAACAAAUAAUUACAAAAUAAAACCUACCAUGGACGAAGAAUAUCAGAUUUAUAUAACAAAUAUGAUUAUCCUUGUAGAUUUCUCUAUUUAAAUUUAGCCUUAAGGAACACUCUAGUGUGUAAACUACCAAUAAUCAAAGACGAGCAUACGACAUAAAGCAUCUUCUAAUGUGCACCUGAGACAGGCUUCUCAGGCCUGUAAUAGCGAUUACUCAUAUCUUCAGUUUGAGAAACUUGAUAUUCCGCAACAGAGAACUUUAUCUGCAACAUGAAAAAUAAAAAAAGAAAAUAGUACUGACUAACUAAUUUCCGGAAUAGUCAACAUAACAUUUUGAAGUUCAUAACAUAAUUUAACAAUAAAACAACACAGCACAUCGUUCAAUUGUAUUGGCACUACAAAAGUUUCCUGGUGAACAUACAUGCUGUUUAUGAGAAAACAUAAACGUUGCAGAAAAGAAAAAGAAAAAUCAAAUAAUCAGAAUCUUCAUAAACUUGUGAAUCAAACAAAGAAAUAUUUCACAUUUAAUUACAUAACAGUGAAACGUAUUGGCACUACACAAGUUUCCUGGUGAACAUACCUGCUAUUUAUGAGAAAAACAUUGCAAAAAAGAAAAGAAAAAUCAACUAAUAGGAGUCUUCAUAAAGUUGGGACUCAAACAAAUCUACAUUUAAUUAUAUAAAAAAUACAGAUCUACUGGAGUUUUACUAAACCUAAAUAGAUGAUCAUGAUUAAUGGCCCCAAAAGGCGUUUCUGAUGCAAUCAUGAGAUUUACAUCAACUAAAGGCAUAAAUGUAGGACUCAACCACCGCUUCUUCCUCGAAAGACAUAUCACCUUCAACACAGAACCAUUAUCGCUAAAGAACCACCUAUUCCUCAUGUUCAAAUCUUCUAUCUAUCAUGAUCAACUUCCAAUGAGGCACGAAAAGAGUAAAAACCAUGAAAUUUCAAUCUCUUCCCCAACAGAAGCGAUCAAAACUCAGUAAAUGGCUCCAAAAGACAAACUUUAAACAUCAAAAGCCAAGUCCCUUCAGUCCAAAGUUCAGAACAAGGAUCAGAUCUUCAAGAUACAAAGGAUCAAAUACAGGCAGCCGGGUCUUACCCAAGAAGAGGAGAAACGAGCGUUGUUUACUCCGAAACGAAGGAGAUUGAGCAGCAGAUAGAACGCAGAUCGAUCUUCCCGGACAAUCUAAAUCGUGAUUUGAUCGACAGCUGUGUCUUCCAGAAUCGAGCUUCAGCAGACGCGGAUGGUUUGAACUCCGUGUCUCUAGAAGACUUCUCAAUGAUCGGAAAUGACCACCGAAUCCACCGUGUAGAAACCAGACCGGGCCUGGUUCAAGGCAAGUUAAAUUGACCGCCCGAACCGGUUCUCGAAGAAAUAGAUAAAUUGAAUCGAACCGGGCUGACCCAAAAAAAUUCUAGGAAGAAUCAGAUGCAAUUUAUAAUAGAAUUAGAAGGAAUUAUGAUCAUAAAGCAGGGAAUUUACUAUAAAAUUUUAAAUUUAUGAAGUAUUUAUUAUAAAUUAUUAUUGGAUACACUUUAAUUUGUUGAGGGUGAACGCAAAGAUGACAAGGCUAAUCGCGAACCAGUUGUGGACCAAACCGGGUCCAGAUACCGGCUAAUUAAGGAGGUUGUUUCUUGGCGCAUCGGCCUACAUGAGGGGACAUGAACAUAUUAAUUUAGCUGGAUUUUAGGUAGUGUGACAGCGAAUUCUAUAGCAACAAAGCGAAUUCAAUGUUCAUCUUUUAAUGCGCACAUAGCAUUUGACAAGGGAUUUAUGGUCAAUUUAGAUUGGUCAAUUAUGAAGGAUGAUUAACAAUAUGGUCCAUUUGUUACAGCAGAUGAGGAGGACUUGUUCUCUAUUCUGUACAACUUUGAAGUAUGUGUUUCAAGAAUGGAUGGAUUCGUUUCUUUUAAUAUAUUAUUAUUUUAUGUAACUCUAUGCAUGUGAAAUUUCAUUUUAUUUUGAAUAUAAAAAUAUUAUUUUUUUAUUUUAAAAUUUUAUUAUAUGGGCUAAUUACAUAUUCCUUAUAACUAAUUACUUUUAGUAUUCUGAUCCUUAUAUUUUUAAAAAUUAUAUUGAGAUCCUUAUAUGUAUGAAAGUGAAACGUUUAAAUUUUUUUUUUUUCAUUGUCCACCCUACUAAAUGAAAUAUUGUAGGAUUUAUCAUUGGAUAUAUAGUAUCUACAAAAACGAUGGGAGGAGAAAUGAGAUUAAAUAUUUCACUUUCGUAUGUCUGAUAGUAAUAUAAUUUUUAAAAAUAUAAAAAAUUAAAAAUAUUAAAAAAAUAAUUAUAAAAAAUAAUAUGUAAUUAGCCCUCUUUUAAUCAGACUCUUUGGACUCUCUCUGUUCUGCUCUUGUCAGGAUAUUCUCAUAUCUUACCUGUUUAAAUUGCAAGCUGGUCAUUGAUGAAGCUUAAAAAUAUCAAUCAAUAAAUCCUGUCCAACUUAUAGAUGGAAUGACAGUAAUUGAAAAUUAAGAUAGUAGCAGAUGAAAUAUUGUGUUUUUACAUGUAAUAAUACUGCUAUCUUCUGCAACUGGAUGCUCCCAAAGAAUCAUAAAUUCCCACCAUAAUAUCAAAUCAAGUCCAAGACAUAUGAAAUGGUUCUCAGUCUUUGGUUCACCAAAUCUGCAAUUGACUUCUGUAAUUAAAAUUCUGCAACUGGUGUCCAUCAACCAUGGAUGGGGCUGACUCCAAUUUCUAAUCAUCAAUCCAAGAUCAUAGAUGUACACAUACAGAACACAGAAGAAGAAAUAUCAAUUCUCAGCUGAUUGCAGAAUUCAUUACAGAAUCGAUGAAGAGAACAGAGUUAUGCUGUACAUAUUUAUGUAUUAUAUAUAUUUCGUCGUCCCCUCUUAUUAUUCCUUACAGAGUUGGUGAGGGAAACAGAGGCUACCACGCGAAGAGAUCUUACAGCAGAGCUCAAACUUUUGUGGAAAGAGGAAGAAGAAGAGAAAGCAGAAAACAUUAGUAUAAAGGAUGCAGUUUCUUUGGACUUCCCUCAUGGCAAUCACAGUCCUCAAGAACAUGUGCUGCAGACUCCAUAGGCCCCGUCGCAGUCGCUGCCGGUGCCGUCACAGAAGCCGGCGGUCCCGAUGAAGACCGGGCUCCCACGGCCGCUCCGUCGGCGCUUCUUGGGCCCGUCGGCGUCGUCGACGCAGGUGAAUAUGAUCCAAGAGAUGAUGGAGAGCCAUAAGAUGAUCACACAGUACAAGGCUUCUCCUCCGAAACCUUCCGUCCCCAUCGCUUCCAUACCCAUGUCUCCCUCUCUGCUUAGCUUCCAAGCUUUCCCUCCGCCGAGAGGGUGUAUUUAUACGAGGUGUUGCGUAUGGGUUGGUACUCGGGGGAGUGGCGACUCUUGCCGUCUCUCGUACGCUCACCUUGUCAGCGAAUUGACCGAGCGUGGCGUGUCGGAUGGGGCCAAGGAAGUGUUUGCUUAAGAGCUAAGAGAGGCGAUGGAUUUCCGAGUGGUAAUAAGGUUUGUUAAUGAACUCUUUGACGUGAUCAAGCUCUUAUCCUCUCACAAACUGUUGGCGUUCCACUGGGUUUCUCGGUGUGAGCGCAGAGUUCUUGUGAAGCAACCGCGUCAGUCCAUUUCAUGGACGUAACACUCGAUUGCAGACUCAUUAAACACCAACAAAGACAAGCGUCGGAUGGCUCCACCCCGCAGAUUAAUGCCACCGCCUCACCGAAGAAGAAGACGAGUGCUCAUGCGGGUCACACCCCCACCCAU
rnacentral:lncRNA from 1 species